CUACGGGAUGCAGCAGUGAGGAAUUUUGCGCAAUGGGGGAAACCCUGACGCAGCAACGCCGCGUGAGCGAAGAAGGCCCUCGGGUCGUAAAGCUCUGUCAAGUGGGAAAAAAGCCUUUUGAUCAAUACCCAAAAGGUUUGAUGGUACCACUGGAGGAAGCACCGGCUAACUCCGUGCCAGCAGCCGCGGUAAUACGGAGGGUGCAAGCGGUGUUCGGAAUUACUGGGCGUAAAGGGCGUGCAGGCGGUUUGGCAAGUCAGAUGUGAAAGCCCUGGGCUUAACCCGGGAAGUGCAUUUGAAACUGCCUUUCUUGAGUAUGGGAGAGGAGAGUGGAAUUCCCAGUGUAGAGGUGAAAUUCGUAGAUAUUGGGAGGAACACCCGUGGCGAAGGCGACUCUCUGGACCAAUACUGACGCUGAGACGCGAAAGCGUGGGGAGCAAACAGGAUUAGAUACCCCAGUAGUC
rnacentral:rRNA from 1 species